rnacentral:rRNA from 1 species
CCUACGGGAGGCUGCAGUGAGGAAUAUUGGUCAAUGGGCGAGAGCCUGAACCAGCCAUGCCGCGUGCAGGAAGACGGCCCUACGGGUUGUAAACUGCUUUUGUUUGGGAAGAAAAGGCGCUACGUGUAGUGCACUGACGGUACCAGAUGAAUAAGCAUCGGCUAACUCCGUGCCAGCAGCCGCGGUAAUACGGAGGAUGCGGGAGUUAUCCGGAUUAAAGAGGGUGUAGGCGGAAGUAGGAGGAAGGCGUGAAAUCCCCCAGCUUAACUGGGGAACUGCCAUAGAUACUGGUUUUCUUGAGUACAGUUGAAGUAGGCGGAAUGUGUAAUGUAGCGGUGAAAUGCUUAGAUAUUACACAGAACACCGAUUGCGAAGGCAGCUUGCUAAGCUGUUACUGACGCUGAUGCACGAAAGCGUGGGGAGCGAACAGGAUUAGAUACCCCAGUAGUC